GAUGGUGCUACGAGGAGGAUGCUGAUGGUGCUACGAGGAGGAUGCUGAUGGUGCUACGAGGAGGAUGCUGAUGGCGUUACGAGGUGGAUGCUGAUGAAGCAACGAAGAGGAUGCUGAUGGAGCGACGAAGGAUGCUGAUGGAGCGACGAAGAGGAUGCUGAUGGAGCGACGAAGAGGAUGCUGACGGAGAGACGGGAAGCAUGCUGAUGGAGAACAAGAUGAAAAACAAGAUGAGAUUUUUAAGAAAUCUUGGAUUUUGAGAGAGCAUAUAUACUCUGUUGAAUUCGGCGUAUUCUUACUAAGUCAGAGAGUUCCCUCGCUCUCUGACUUAGAAAACGAAUUUUGUGGUAAAGUAUUUCAAAGUAGGCUCCUGCCACCUAUUUUGGAAUAAUGUUGUACAAAUUUCUAUUAAGUAAUGAUUUUAGAAUAAUAAUGUUGAUUGAAAAGCAUUUAUGCCGUGAUGAAUAAAUAACAUCCAUCGGUAGUUUUGAAACGACUGUCAGCUUAAAAUAUGCAUAUGUAUUUAAAUUAAACAUGGUCACCAUGCCAGCAAGUGUCAGCGUUUGAUAAAUGUUUUUCGAAAUACGCUUUUCAAUGCAAUAUGGAAAUUUGUCAUCAUAACGUGCACAAAAUUGCUGUUUCGUAAUAAUAUAUACGCAAUUUUAACAAAUAUUUAAUGUUUGGGGCUGUUUUCAUUCAACCGUAGCUAUAGUGUGUUUUCUUUUGACGUCAUAUAAGCCAUGUUGGGAGAGUACAUGAGAGUGUCGAAGCUCAGCAAAGCAUAAAAUUAGCAGAAAUUCUUUUCACUGUAUGGAAUUUUGCCCCAACAUGGUAACUGAUGAAAACAAUUUAGAGGAAGAAAUCAUUAAGGUGUAAAAUGAUUUUUUCAUCAGCUAGCAAUCCAUUUGGGACUUUUCACAGUAUUUUUAAUUCACGAAAAUUUACAUAAAACGUACAAAAUGACAUACCUCGCAACAAGUAUAAAACAUGUGAAAAUUGAUCAUCAAAUUUACUGGCAUUUCCCCAGUAUAGUAGCGGCAUCUUCUUUCAUGUUUAGAGAUUAUUUUACACCUCAAUGUUUUCUACUCUCAUGUCCUUAGACCCAAAAAAAAAUUUACAUCUGUAAUGUAAUGUAUGAUAAACUUAGGAAUAAAUUUAAGAGAAAGGAACUUCUCAAACGACUUCCAGUAAUAUGUAAGUUUUAGCAAGUAAAAUGUUCGUACAAUAAAUUAUAAAAAACUGUGA